CCGGUCGCGGGUGGCGGCGACCGGCUCCCCGCCGGGGCCGGACGGCCUGCGGAACGUCGCCGCGCCGACGUACGGCUUCGUCGCGCCCGGC
rnacentral:tRNA from 2 species